GCUUACGACCAUAUCACGUUGAAUACACGCCAUCCCGUCCGAUCUGGCAAGUUAAGCAACGUUGAGUCCAGUUA
rnacentral:rRNA from 1 species